GGCUGCGUCCUCCCGCUUCCUGGACCCGCGGCGGCAUCUGCGGCCGGAGAGCCGAGGCCGCCCCGCCCGGCCCCACCCUCCGGCCCGCGGCACCCCCGCAGCGAAGCCCGCCCGCUGGCCGCCGCCCGGUCCCUGGGCCAGGCCCCCUCCUCGCGGGGCCCGCGCCCGGGAGGCGAAGCUCCACGGAGGACGCGGAGGCGGCUGCAGACGGGGCGGCCGGGGCUGCCCCUCCCGCGCUGCCGGGGAGGCGGGCUGCGUUUUCUCCAAGGCUCCAGUGGCCCGCCUGUCACGGCCCUGCCAGCCGGAUCCCCAUCCCCGAGGAGACCGCGCAGGAUGCCCGGGCUCACUCGGCAUGGGCCGCCGGGCUGGAAGCUGUAGGAGGCUGGAGGCCGGAGCUCGUUCCCGCCGAGCCCGGAGCCACGGGUGCGCAUGCUCCGCGAAGGCCCGCACCGGGCCUGCGUGAACCCUGAUAGAACCAUCGCGAGGCCGGCUAAGCGGAGCUCCAGUGGCGCAAUCGGUUAGCGCGCGGUACUUAUACAGCAGUACAUGCAGAGCAAUGCCGAGGUUGUGAGUUCGAGCCUCACCUGGAGCACGUCCCUUUUGGGUAAUACACUCACGUGUUCAAAAUUCAAAGCGUUAAAAAUAAACAACCUUUCCUGUUCAAUAUGUAAACAAACAACCUCAUGCUCCCGACAGAAAAGCAGCAAGGACAUGAAAAGGCAAUUUGUGGAAAAAAAUGUGUUAAGAAUGUCACCCUUAGUGUUAUAAAAACUCUUCCGCUGAGACCUGCUUGCCUGUCAUUUUGAGAUGUUUUUGAUGCACAGAAGUUUCAACUUUACUAAGCCGUAUUUUUCCCUGAAUGAUCUCUUCGCUGCCUGGAAAGCCAUUGCUCAUCCUGAGACGGAGCCGAGGACUGGUGUAGCUACCUGAGGGUGCAGCUCUGGGAUGCCAGUUGGCCUCAGUCCCCAGCCCCUGCUCUGAACCAUCUGGCAGUUAUUCAUGGCAGGACAAGCAGGCCAAGGGGCACCAGCCUCUGGAAGUGGACCGUCCUUCUGGAGAAGAGGGCCUGGAGACCCACCCUGAGAAACAACACAACUCCAUAGAACCCAUCAGACUACAAAGAGAAAGCAGCAGUCUUCGAAAUAUCAGAGCAGCAUCACAGAAAAAUGAGUCCGCCCUUGAUACUGACUGUCUCUGAGUUCUCUGUGGUUGCACCAUGUAUAUUUAUUGAGCUGGCACAGCAGGAUUGGAAGCCAACCUGGUUCCUGAAUGACACUGAGCACAUUAGUGUAUAUGUCAAGGCUCUUGAACUCCAUGUAUCCGUGGCAAGCUGCCGUCUCAGAGGAUGAGCCAUCAGACAUUGCCACAGGGAAGGGGUGGGAAGUGGUCAUCCUCGGGACUCCAAGCUGACUUUUUUGACCUCGUUAUGGAGAUGACGGGCUGGACUAACUGCGGGAUGGAGUGCUUGUGCAGACCAGAUCACGGAGGAUGGAAGCUGUGGUGUGAGUGACUCUGGCUCCUAGUGACAGCGCUGGAGGGACAGGACAGAGAGCUGCCCUCAGACCUCGGGGCGCCAUCCCCCGUGACCUCGCUGCCCCCUCCCUCUCCCCAGCGAGUGCAAACACAGCUGGUCACGGACUUUUGCUGCGGGAGGUGUUUUCCCCGAGCUGAUAGGAUCAACCUGUUCUUUACCUCAAACCUGUUUUUAAAAGGACUUUCCUGUUUUUUUUUUCUUUCUUUAAUUGCAGAAUAUUUUUAUAACAUACUUUGAACAGAAGAAACAGAACCUAGCAAAACAGUUAUUAAAGAGCUGUAAAAUGCUUUCCUCACACUUGCCUUCUUAUUUCUUCCUCCUUUGGGUGGGUCGGGCUGUAGGUUGGGGCUGCGGUGGGUGAACCUAAGUGACCAAGCUACAAAUUAGUGACAAG
rnacentral:tRNA from 1 species